GUGAACGCUGGCGGUAGGCCUAACACCUGCAAGUCGAACGGCAGCACAGUAAGAGCUUGCUCUUACGGGUGGCGAGUGGCGGACGGGUGAGGAAUACAUCGGAAUCUACUUUUUCGUGGGGGAUAACGUAGGGAAACUUACGCUAAUACUGCAUACGACCUACGGGUGAAAGCAGGGGAUCUUCGGACCUUGCGCGAUUGAAUGAGCCGAUGUCGGAUUAGCUAGUUGGCGGGGUAAAGGCCCACCAAGGCGACGAUCCGUAGCUGGUCUGAGAGGAUGAUCAGCCACACUGGAACUGAGACACGGUCCAGACUCCUACGGGAGGCAGCAGUGGGGAAUAUUGGACAAUGGGCGCAAGCCUGAUCCAGCCAUACCGCGUGGGUGAAGAAGGCCUUCGGGUUGUAAAGCCCUUUUGUUGGGAAAGAAAAGCAGCAGGUUAAUACCCCGCUGUUCUGACGGUACCCAAAGAAUAAGCACCGGCUAACUUCGUG
rnacentral:rRNA from 1 species